CAGAAAGGAUGUUAGGUGGCCAAACGCGUUUUUUCUGCUUUAGCGCCACCUAGUGGUGUAAGUGGGUCAAUUGUUGCACCUUAGGUCCUUGCGGAGUUUCGGACCAGUCCUGAAAACGGCAACCCCCUACCAUGUACGGUUUAGGCUGUAGUCGGAGUUUUAG